UACGUAGGUGGCAAGCGUUGUCCGGAAUUAUUGGGCGUAAAGCGCGCGCAGGCGGCCUCUUAAGUCUGAUGUGAGAGCCCCCGGCUCAACCGGGGAGGGCCAUUGGAAACUGGGAGGCUUGAGUAUAGGAGAGAAGAGUGGAAUUCCACGUGUAGCGGUGAAAUGACGUAGAGAUGUGGAGGAACACCAGUGGCGAAGGCGAACUCUUUGGCCUAUAACUGACGCUG
rnacentral:rRNA from 1 species